rnacentral:rRNA from 1 species
AUUGAACGCUGGCGGCAGGCCUAACACAUGCAAGUCGAGCGGAGCGGCGGACGGGUGAGUAAUGCCUAGGAAUCUGCCUGGUAGUGGGGGAUAACGUCCGGAAACGGGCGCUAAUACCGCAUACUAUCAGAUGAGCCAAGGUCGGAUUAGCUAGUUGGUGGGGUAAAGGCCUACCAAGGCGACGAUCCGUAACUGGUCUGAGAGAAUGAACAGUCCGACUGGAACUUAGACAAGGUCCCGACUCCUACGGGAAGCAGGUGUGGGGAAUAUUGCACAAUGGGCAAGAGCCUUAUCCAGCCGUGCCGCGUGUGUGGAGAAGGUCUUCGGAUUGUAAAGCUCUUUGAGUUAGGAGGCGUUACCAACAGAAUAAGCACCGGCUAACUUCGUGCCAGCAGCCGCGGUAAUUC